rnacentral:rRNA from 1 species
AGAACGAACGCUGGCGGCAGGCUUAACACAUGCAAGUCGAACGCUCGUAGCAAUACGGGAGUGGCAGACGGGUGAGUAACGCGUGGGAACAUACCCUCCGGUUCGGAAUAGCUCAGGGAAACUUGGAUUAAUACCGGAUACGGCUGAGAGGCGAAAGAUUUAUCGCCGGAGGAUUGGCCCGCGUUCGAUUAGCUUGUUGGUGAGGUAACGGCUCACCAAGGCGAUGAUCGAUAGCUGGUCUGAGAGGAUGAUCAGCCACAUUGGGACUGAGACACGGCCCAAACUCCUACGGGAGGCAGCAGUGGGGAAUAUUGGACAAUGGGCGCAAGCCUGAUCCAGCCAUGCCGCGUGAGUGAUGACGGCCUUAGGGUUGUAAACCCCUUUCAGCAGGGACGAAGCGAAAGUGACGGUACCUGCAGAAGAAGCGCCGGCUAACUACGUGCCAGCAGCCGC